UUUUGCUCCAAGUUUCGAAAAUCUGGGGUCUUUGGUUCGCUGUUGGCAACGCGUGGGCGCCCAUGUUGGGAAAAAUGACGCUUGGUUGCUAAAAAUGGCAGGUGUUGUUAGUAACGAUGUUUGGAAAAGUUGGGAAAAAUCGGGAAAAACAGAGUUUGUUAAAACAUGCAUGCAGUUGUUGAAAGAUGACACCAAGUCCCCGGUUUUUGACAAAAAUGGGAGAGUCUCAAGUCUCAUAACCAACAUAAAUAUGUUGAUUGACAAAGGACUCAAAGGGCAGUUGAAAGUGGAGGCUGUUGUUUCAACGCUCCAGGAGCUUGUUUCUUUACAUCCUGAUGUUCCUUCGGUAAUUUUAGACGUUUUAAGUAUCACAGACUCUUCUUGCAUACCUGAUAGCAGUAACGACGAUUCAAAAGAAAGGAACAAUUUGUGUUUUAUCAUAAAAGAAUGUGAAAAGUUGCUUUCAGACCAAUUGUUGAAGGAACGGUUAGAAAUAGACACGCUACAAGAAGUUGGCAUCUUGAAAAACAAAACGUUUUAUUCAAAGUUUAUUAAAGUGAAGACAAAACUAUACUACAAACAGCGCAAAUUUAACUUAUUUCGCGAGGAAUGUGAGGGUUUCGCAAAAUUACAAACGGAAUUGAACCAAGAGUUUGGCGAAAAUACCAGUCAUGAGGACGUCCUAGACAUAGUUCAAUCAUUAAUUGGUUGCUUCAACCUCGACCCAAACCGAGUCCUUGAUAUAAUUCUGGAGAGUUUUGAGAAUAAACCAAAAGACGCGCGAAUUUUCGUCCCUCUAAUAUGCUCGUAUAUGAAAGACCCGAAAAUCGUGAGUGAAGUUCUAGCAUCGAAAUUCACUUUUUUGCGAAGUAGCGAAACAAAUGUUCCUCGAUCUCUAUACGUAUUAACGGCGCAGUUGUUACAACAUAACAUUAUAUCACUGGACGACAUUUAUCUUUGGUUAACACCUGAGGAUAAAAUCAUGUUUAAAGAGUGUGAUAAAGCGAUGAAAGAUGCAAAAGAAUACGUGCGUAAGCUACAAGUGAUCUCGAUAAAUAAUAAGGAGAAGGAAGAAACGCCCGAAGAGCCGGAAAAUCUCAUGGAAAAAUUUAACGCGAACCAAAAGUUGGGGCUUUGCGAGGCGUUGCUUUCAGUCGGUGAUUGGAACAAUGCGAAAAAUUUGAUAAAUCGUCUGCCUGAUCACUACGCACUGUCAUUCCAACCGAUCGCGUUAGCACUGUGCAAAUUGUUGCAUUACAUCGUUGAACCUGUUUAUAGAGAAUUUUGUAAGUUGGGACCAAAAAUCAAGGGAAAACCUAUCCCGCGCCAUGAAAAUCCCCUCAGCCCGAAACAAGCAACCUCAUUUUUGGAACUUCGAGAUCAUGCCAUUCCUAUGUUGAUUACUUUAGGAGCUUCGCUCCGUUUUGAUCCCGUUUUGAUGUACAAAGUGAUAAGAAUUUCCAAAGCGGCGUUAAAUUCCUAUGGAGUAGAGUCGUCAAAAUCGCCUUGUCCGUCUGGUGAUACGUUAUAUUACGAUAUUUUGACUUUGUUGGACACGACAAUACUGUCGUCACUCUCGUACAUGGAUUGCAAUUGUUGCAUCGCAGAGGAAGUGUGGACGGUCCUCAAACUCUACCCAUAUCAGAAUAGGUACUGUCUUUACAGCCGGUGGAAAAACGAGACGUAUUCUUUAUACCCCGACUUGUUACGAAAGCGCGGAGAUUCCGAAAAACAAAUCAAAAAUAUCAUGAAACGAGUCAGUAAGGAAAACAUCAAACCUGUAGGCCGCCUCAUUGGCAAACUCACCCACUGUUCACCGGGAUUUCUGUUCGAUUACAUUUUACUCCAAAUUCAAGUUUAUAGCAAUUUGAUUCACCCAGUGGUCGACUCUUUGAAAUAUCUGACGAGUUUAUCGUACGAUGUUUUGGGCUUUUGCCUCGUUGAAUGUCUAGCGAACGCCGACAAGAAACGGGUAAAACAUGAUAGCACUUCGAUCUCUUCGUGGCUACAAAGUCUCUCGAGUUUUUGUGGCGCUGUUUACAAAAAAUACAUCAUAGAAUUGACCGGGCUUUUGCAGUAUGUGGCCAACCAACUUAAAGCGCAAAAAAGUUUGGAUUUGCUGAUUUUGAAAGAAAUCGUCCAGAAAAUGGCAGGUGUUGAAGCCGCCGAAGACUUGACCAUGGAGCAAGUGAACGCAAUGGCAGGGGGCGAACUUCUGAAAGCCGAGGCCGGUUAUUUGAGUCAAGUUCGCAACACUAAAAAAUCAUCACUGCGGCUUAAGGAAGCAAUGUCUGAGCAUAAUCUAGCUGUGGCUUUGUGUUUACUGAUGGCCCAGCAAAAUUAUUGUGUUGUCUAUCGGGAAACGCAGAAGAAUCAUUUGAAAUUGGUCGGGAAAUUGGCCGAUCAAUGUCAGGACACUUUGGUCCAGUUUGGGACGUUUCUCGGCUCUUCUCUUUCAGUUGAUGAGUAUGUGAAUAAAUUGCCAAGUAUCCAGAGUAUGCUCCUCGAUUAUCAUAUUCCAAACGAAGUUGCCUUCUUCCUGGCCAGGCCCAUGUUCAACCAUGCCAUAAAUAUAAAGUACGAUCAGUUGCGUAAAUCUGACCCUAACUACAAGAAACUCUCAACGAACGUAAAAAACCAGAAAUAUUUCGAAGCGGUGAACGAAGUGAUGGAACCGGUCCACAAAUCUAUAAUUCCGCUCCACCCCCCGAAAAUCUGGGAGGACAUUUCGCCCCAAUUUUUAUCAACCUUUUGGUCUUUAACAAUGUAUGAUCUUUACGUACCUGACGAAACGUACCAACAAGUCGUGAAUAAAACGCGCCAACAAUCGUUGGCAACGAUAGAAUCGAGUAACAACAAAGGUAAAAAAGAGCAAGAACGUUACUUGACCCUAGUCGAGAAACUGCAAGACGAGAAGAAGAAACAACACGAACACGUGGAGAAAGUAAUGUAUAGGUUGAAGCAAGAGAAGGACAGUUGGUUCCUGUCAAGAUCGGCAAAAUCGGCCAAAAACGAAACAAUAACCCGGUUUUUGCAGUUGUGUUUGUUCCCUAGAUGCACUUUCACGUCGAUCGAUGCCGUGUAUUGCGCUAAGUUCGUCCACGUGAUUCACAUGCUGAAAACGCCGAAUUUUUCGACGCUUUUGUGCUACGACAGGCUCUUUUGCGACGUCACAUAUUCCAUUACUUCGUGUACCGAAAAUGAGGCGAUGCGUUAUGGGCGAUUUCUGUACGCAAUGCUCGAGACUGUAAUGCGGUGGCACAAGUCGAAAGAGUUGUUUGAGAAAGAAUGUGCCAAUUAUCCAGGUUUUGUUACUAAAUAUCGUCUAAAUAACCAACAUGCCGACAAUUUGGAUAAUGUCGGUUAUGAGAAUUACAGGCAUGUUUGUCAUAAAUGGCACUAUAAACUAGCAAAGGCUAUGGUCACGUGCUUGGACUCGAAAGAUUACGUACAAAUCAGGAACUCGUUAAUUAUCCUAAUUAAGAUCAUUCCAUUUUUCCCCGUGUUGCAAAAGGUGGGGCAAUUUAUUGAAAAACGGAUCGAAAAAGUGCGAGAUGAGGAGAAGAACAAUCGACAGGAUUUGUUCACGUUGUCUAGUAGUUACUUGGGGUUGUUGAAACAGAGGAUUAUGAGCGGGCAUAUGGUGAAAGAGAGCGAUUUCCAUAUUUUGGUGGAGAAAGAGAAGGUUGUGAGAAGUCAUGAAGCUAAAAGUGAGGCAGGUUCUAGCAAACAUAACGGCGAAGUUAAAGAAGAGAUGAAGGACAAAAGCGAGAAAAAAAUCAAAGCGGAGGACCUUAAAGUCGUUUCACGAACGUCGCAAGGUUCCCAAAGCUCUGGCGAUUAUAACGCGUGGGAACGCCCCGAACCGAGGGAAAAACACAGAAGGGAGGAGAAACGUGACGAUUUUGAGAAAGAACGCGAAAGAGAGAAACGUAGAGAGCGUAAAGAGGAGAAAUUGGCGAAACAGGAAGAACGACAGUAUCGAGAGGAGCGCUAUUCUGAAAUCAGUCCGAAAGAUGAAAUGCGGUAUUCAAGCGACAGACAAGUGGAACGAUACUAUGACGAAAGAGGCAGUCACUACUAUCGAGAAGUGCGAGAUGAACGCGAAAUCGGGUUAAGUGGUAGCAAUAAUGGGUCAAGUAGUAUGGGAAGGCAUAGUCAAGAGCCCGAGACCGAUAGAGAAGUUAAAAGAAGAAAAAUGGAUGGUUCUUCUUUGAAGGUUAGUAUCGGAGUGACGUAACAACGAUGCAGAUUUCAGGGUUCGAAACCCUCUCUGGUAUUUUCUUUGUCCGACACUGGGAGAUUGGGCUGAGUCGUGCCGUUAAAGUGUUUUAAAUCUGUCGCAAAAAGUGUUGUAGACUCGAGUGCUUUGUGUGUUUGAUAAACUUUUUGCUCUAAUUUCGCCACCAAGUCCUGCACGAGUUUUUGUUUUUCAUCACCGGGUUCUCCUCACAUUUAAACCAAAUCAAAUCACAAAUUCUGAUUGUCGUAAAUAUUUCCGAAGAAGUUUGUCGUUUAAAAAAAUCGAUCGAUUCUUAUAAUCGCCGGAGUAAUGUUGGAGUGAAUUCGUCCGUUGAUGAAGAUCGGGAAUGGAAUCGGCUGUGAAGAAGACGCAAGCGAAGGUGCAUGAAGAUUCACUUAUGUAAAAGUGGCAAAAAGUGACACUUGUGUAAGGGACAGUCUGCAAUCAGCCCAAUCUUCCAUUUUGUUAAUAAUUUUGGGAUGGGAGCCAGUUACAGAGAUUUAAUUGGUGUUGUGCCAAAAAGCAAGUCGAGUUGACAGCUAGUACAAAGCAAGCGCCAGCGGAGGCUGCUAUUGUGCAACACUGUCUCAACCCGCACGUCUAAUGCAGUACCCCUGGUUGUCUGCAGAGUUCGAAACACGAAGAGAGGAAACUACAACAACUCGAUUACAUGUUAGAGAAAACGGACAAAAAAGAAAGGUCGGGCAAAGCGAAAGAGAAGAGGGAAAAGUUGAGCGACGAGGAAAAAGAGUUGAGGAAAGAACGGAAGUU